rnacentral:rRNA from 1 species
CACUUCGGUGUGAGUAGAGCGGCGGACGGGUGAGUAAUGCUUGGGAAUCUACCUAGUAGUGGGGGAUAACGUGUGGAAACGCACGCUAAUACCGCGUACGUCCUACGGGAGAAAGCAGGGGACCUUCGGGCCUUGCGCUAUUAGAUGAGCCCAAGUCGGAUUAGCUAGUUGGUAGGGUAAUGGCUUACCAAGGCGACGAUCCGUAGCUGGUCUGAGAGGAUGAUCAGCCACACUGGGACUGAGACACGGCCCAGACUCCUACGGGAGGCAGCAGUGGGGAAUAUUGCACAAUGGGCGAAAGCCUGAUGCAGCCAUGCCGCGUGUGUGAAGAAGGCUCUAGGGUUGUAAAGCACUUUCAGUAGGGAGGAAAAGUAUGUAGUUAAUAGCUGCAUACCCUGACGUUACCUACAGAAGAAGCACCGGCAAACUCCGUGCCAGCAGCCGCGGUAAUACGGAGUGUGCGAGCGUUAAUCGGAAUUACUGGGCGUAAAGCGCGCGUAGGUGGUUUGAUAAGCUAGCUGUGAAAGCCCUGGGCUCAACCUAGGAACUGCAGUUAGAACUGUCUGACUAGAGUACAGUA